rnacentral:rRNA from 1 species
UACGGAAGGGGCAAGCGUUGUUCGGAAUCAUUGGGCGUAAAGGGCGCGUAGGUGGUUCUGUAUGUCUACCGUGAAAGCAUACAGCUCAACUGUAUUUUGUCGGUAGAAACUGCAGGACUUGAGGCUGGGAGGGGCUGGUGGAAUUCCCUGUGUAGCGGUGAAAUGCGUAGAGAUGGGGGAGAACACUCGUGGCGAAGGCGGCCAGCUAGACCAGUUCUGACACUGAGGCGCGCCAGCGUGGGGAGCAAACAGG